UCUUACUAUUUUAUUUUAAUAGAAGGGUGGUAUGUAUUUCUCUUACUAUUUUAGUCUAAUAUAAAGGUGACAUAAAUCUCCUAAUGUUUUACUUUAACAUAAGGGUAUAUAUUUGUAUCUAUUUAUUACAUUUUUUCUUCCUUUUAGGAAGAUUGAUGGAUCAUGUUGUCAUUGGACUGGGAGUGACAUCAGUUUUCUGUGUGAUUGUAAUCAUUAUCCUCAUCUUCACCAGAAAUACAAAGCCAAUUUGUGAACAUUAUCAAGUGAGUUUUGCACAGCAUAUUGGACUUGACAACACAACUACCGAAUGUGAUCAGGAUCAAGAUGGAGUUACGUUGAAUUAUGCUGCAUUGAAUUUCUCUGAGAGGAAAACUAAAACAGGAAGAAAGAAGAGAGACACCACAGGAGACUGUGUACUCGGAUGUCAGGUGUUCAGACUGGGACUGAACGUUGUUUAUGAGCAGAGGAAUGGAUGUAGUUUGGUCAAGAAACUCUUGUUAAUAUAGAUGUACAGUAUAUAAUGUAUUCAGACAGUCAUGACAUUUGAUACACUAUAAUGUAUCAUAGAAUAAGCUUGUUCUUCUAGGAGUGUUCUCUAUCAGAGCACCACUGUUAUGGAGCGGCUUGUCCUGUGAGUUAGAGGGCCAGAAACCAUUGAGGUCUUUAAAUCAUGCCAGAAAAUCUACCUUUUUAGCUUGGUCUUUAAUCUUAAUCUGUGAUUGUAUUGUUAUUUUAGACUUCCUUAUUGAUUCUAUAUUAUUCUCUUGUAUCAUAUCUCUUGUAUCUCAGCCUUUUGUUUAGACAUACUGUUUAACUGUGAGCCAACUCAGUGGCCUUGUGCUUAUUGUCCACCGUGAGAAGAGAAGGUUGAGGGUUUGAUCCCUGGUCAAGUCACACCAAUUACUCUAAAAAUGGGAACGAAUGCCUCUCUGCUUGGCACUCAGUAUAAAGGAGAUGGAUUGGGUUAAGUGUCCUGUCCAGGAGGUGUACUUGUACAUCAAGCUGCUUUCCGCUAUUGAAUAUUGAACCUAUGAGCAGUUCUGGCUCGGAUGAGGAUUUCUUACUUAAUUACUUUUCUACGGUAAAGUUUGUUGCAAUUGAACUGUAUUUCAAAUACAAUUAGAGUUGAUCAGCCCCCAUUUUAAGUCAUUUUUCUCUAUUUGAAAUAAUGUAUAAUUGUAUUAUGGUUCUAUUUGGAUUGUUUUAAUCCUUUUUCCAAAAUGUAUAAUUGUUGUGAUAUUUACUGUAACCCAUGAAACAAACAAUAAGAUAGCAUACCUUCUUAAACAUUGUAUAUAAUGUAGGUUAAUUACAUUUUACUGUAUUUCUUGAGUUCCAACAGCAUGUUUAUGUCACGUUGGAAUGAAGAGAUUCGGGAGACAGGCGCAGGAAUACAUAAUAGUUUUUUUUAAUCAG